GAGUAACACGUGAGUAACCUGCCCUUCACUCUGGGAUAAGCACUGGAAACGGUGUCUAAUACCGGAUACGAGCUUCCGCCGCAUGGUGAGGAGCUGGAAAGAAUUUUGGUGGGGGAUGGACUCGCGGCCUAUCAGGUAGUUGUUGAGGUAAUGGCUCACCAAGCCGACGACGGGUAGCCGGCCUGAGAGGGUGACCGGCCACACUGGGACUGAGACACGGCCCAAACUCCUACGGGAGGCAGCAGUGGGGAAUAUUGCACAAUGGGCGAAAGCCUGAUGCAGCAACGCCGCGUGAGGGACGACGGCCUUCGGGUUGUAAACCUCUUUUAGUAGGGAAGAAGCGAAAGUGACGGUACCUGCAAAAAAAGCACCGGCUAACUACGUGCCAGCAGCCGCGGUAAUACGUAGGGUGCAAGCGUUGUCCGGAAUUAUUGGGCGUAAAGAGCUCGUAGGCGGUUUGUCGCGUCUGCUGUGAAAUCCGGAGGCUCAACCUCCGGCCUGCAGUGGGUACGGGCAGACUAGAGUGCGGUAGGGGAGAUUGGAAUUCCUGGUGUAGCGGUGGAAUGCGCAGAUAUCAGGAGGAACACCAAUGGCGAAGGC
rnacentral:rRNA from 1 species